ACUGAGUCUGCGUGAGCGAUGGCAGCGGCAUCCUUUUUCGACGCAACGCAGUGGAGUCGAAAAAGAUAUAGCGCACAGCGCGACGGCGG
rnacentral:sRNA from 1 species